UACGUAGGGGGCAAGCGUUGUCCGGAUUUAUUGGGCGUAAAGAGCGUGUAGGCGGCCAUGUAGGUCCGUUGUGAAAACUCGAGGCUCAACCUCGAGACGCCGAUGGAAACCAUGUGGCUAGAGUCCGGAAGAGGAGAGUGGAAUUCCUGGUGUAGCGGUGAAAUGCGCAGAUAUCAGGAGGAACACCGAUGGCGAAGGCAGCUCGCU
rnacentral:rRNA from 1 species